rnacentral:rRNA from 1 species
UACAGAGGUCCCAAGCGUUGUUCGGAUUUACUGGGCGUAAAGGGCGCGUAGGCGGUCGGAUAAGUCUGAUGUGAAAUCUCCGGGCUUAACCCGGAAAUGGCAUUGGAUACUAUUCGGCUGGAGGGUUGGAGGGGGGACUGGAAUACUUGGUGUAGCAGUGAAAUGCGUAGAUAUCAAGUGGAACACCAGUGGCGAAGGCGAGUCCCUGGACAACUCCUGACGCUGAGGCACGAAAGCUAGGGGAGCAAACAGG